UACGGGGGGGGCAAGCGUUGUUCGGAAUUACUGGGCGUAAAGGGCGCGUAGGCGGCCUCUGCAAGUCGACUGUGAAAUCUCCGGGCUUAACCCGGAACGGUCAGCCGAUACUGCAGGGCUAGAGUGCAGAAGGGGCAACUGGAAUUCUCGGUGUAGCGGUGAAAUGCGUAGAUAUCGAGAGGAACACCUGCGGCGAAGGCGGGUUGCUGGGCUGACACUGACGCUGAAGUGCGAAAGCUAGGGGAGCGAACGGG
rnacentral:rRNA from 1 species